UACGGAGGAUCCAAGCGUUAUCCGGAUUUAUUGGGUUUAAAGGGUGCGUAGGCGGAAGAUUAAGUCGGUGGUGAAAUUUUGCAGCUCAACUGUAACAGUGCCAUUGAUACUGGUUUUCUUGAGUAUGGAUGAAGUAGGCGGAAUUUGUGGUGUAGCGGUGAAAUGCAUAGAUAUCACGAGGAACUCCGAUUGCGCAGGCAGCUUACUAAACCAUAACUGACGCUCAGGCACGAAGGCGUGGGGAUCAAACAGG
rnacentral:rRNA from 1 species